AAGGUAUUAGCUUAAUUAAAGUAUCUGCUUUGCAUGCAGAAGAUGUGGGGUAAUAUCCCGCAUGCCUUA
rnacentral:tRNA from 1 species